GGGGUUGUGGCUCAGUGGCAGAGUGCUUGCUUUGCCCGCAUGAGGCACUGGGUUCAAUCCUCAGCACCA
rnacentral:tRNA from 1 species